GGUAAGGUGGCCGAGUGGUUAAGGCGUUUGACUUAAGUUCAAAUGACGAAUAGUCUCAUGGGUUCGAACCCCAUCCUUACCA